CAAUAGAUCACCUUUAGCUGCGUUUUUUUUUAAAAACGCCACAACUGUCAAUUUUUUUUAACCACAGCUCCGUCGUUUUAGUUUCAUCCAAUUUAUUUGCUCCCGAUGGCUGUUCUUUUUCCCCUUAACAAAAUUUCUCUCAUUCCAUCUCUUCUCCUUUAAUCCCUAAAUUUUCAUCCCCAAGUUCCCAACCCAUUUGCCACCGAAGACGCCGACCGGACCACCUGGUGCAUCGCCCUCGACUAACCUCUCUGCUGCGUCACCGUCGCCUGCUCAUCCUGCUCAGAAACGAGAUUAUAUUUUUCACAACGGUAAAUUAAAUGGGAAGCGCCAUGUACGACCUUACUACUUUGAGUUCGUCUCUCAUGUUAAUAAACGAUGGGAAGGUAAAACAAUAGUGGAUUUGUUCGCUUAAGAGUUCAGAGGUCGAUCUAGAGAUUACUAUAUUAUUUUUCUAGAAACAAUAUGCAACGAUGAAAAGAUUAUUGAAAGAAAUAUUCGCCUUAAAAUUCAACAAAGUCCUGACUAUGCAGAAGAGCCAGAUUUCGAAGCUAGAUUACAAGACUUUACAACCCGGUUAGCUAAUUACGAAAAGGUUUAUGAACCAGUUGAUGAAGGGUCUUACAUCAAAAUGAUUGAUAUGGCUAGUGGGCAUGGUGGACAAAUACAAUUUAAGUUCAAAUCUCCUUCUUUUAUAUGGCUUUUGUGCUUCAUGCAUAUGCAUGUGGGAUCAAUGUUCAUUGUGGCCAUAACACGGUGUAACUAGUCUGUAUUGUUGUACUUUUAGUUAAAAGUAGUUUGUGCAAUAUAUGGAGAAAGUUGUCAUUAUAAUGGCUUUGUCGUUCUUAAAGAUUUUUCUAUCAUAUCUUUUGUUUCUUAUUUCCUUAAAGUAUUAAUUCUUAAAUGUUUACCCCUUCUCUUUCUCAACUUCUUAGAUGAUUUAAUGGCUUUGCAAUAUGAUCUAAGAUUUUGCAUGUUUUAACUGGAUUCAGGUUAACAACAUCAGUGGCUAUCUUCCUGGACGAAUCGUCUUUUCUUGGUUAAUACACAUCUGACACCUCGCCCAAUACUACUUACCAGGCAUGGAGAGAGUCGUGAUAAUGUUAAGAGGCAGAAUUGGUGGUGACAGUGUAUUGAGUGAUCCGGAGAAAUUUAUAUGAAGAAACUCACAAACUUUGUUGAGAAGCGACUGAAAUCUGAAAGGACUGCUUCUAUAUGGACCAGCACCCUACAGAGAACAAUUCUGACAACAAGUCCAAUUGAUGGAUUUCCAAAGGAAAAACCAACUACACUAGAUUGCGGUCCAAGAACAAUUUGCAGGAGGCACAUAAUGACUAGCUCUAACCUCUACGAAUGCUUGUGGGAGGCAUUGUAGCAGCGAAUAAGGAUGAUAACAUGCAGUUGACACCGUAUGUGCUAUGAAUCCGAAUUCAGGUUUUGAUCUUAGUGGCGCAAACUUUAGUGGCGCCAUCUAUAGCGGCGUUUUUUGCGGCACUUUUACAAGCGCUCUUCCAUCCAGCAAGGAAGACUAGCUAAAGACCUUAAAAAACGCCGCUAAAAGUCAAUUUUGCUGCAGUGUGAGUUGUUGUGGUACUCAAAUUGACCAAAAAUCAAGAAAAAAUCAACUGAACUUCCUCCAUUUAUGGCCGGCCACCCAUGGAAGAUGUUUCAAAAGAUGAAAACUCCUAUUUUUAGUGACUCCUCACCUAUAAAUAAGACCUCAUUCUCACAUUUCUAAUCAUCCCUCAUUCCUCAUUCAUCCUCUUAGCAUUUUUCUUUUCUCCUCACGCCUAUCAUCAUCUUUUCAUAAAGAUUUUAGCAUUUGAGCCUCUUAAAGAACCUUUGGUCGGCCAUCCUGGAGAGCCAUCCGCAAAGGAGUGAAGUAAAGGAACGAAGGAGCCUCGUCAGUCAGAGUCUUGGGUGACAGCCACUCUGAAUUGGGUUUAAUCUUUCUUUUCUUUAAUUUAAUUUAAAGAUGUUUCCUAUGUGUUCUUUGUUCUUGUUUACAAAAAUGUUAGCUUAAUUUUAUUUAAGCUAAGGUGAUUGCUUUGAUUAAAUAAUAUUUAUUAGAUUCAUGCUUAUAA